ACACUGCUGAGGAGUCCCACAAUAGAACGAAAUGCCCAUCCAGUAC
rnacentral:hammerhead_ribozyme from 1 species